CAUGUGCUGGUCACUAGGUGGCAGCGCUAUUUCAUCUGUGGUCGACAGAACGACGUGCUUGCUCGAGCACAAACAACUCAAAAUAUCGCCAAAAACUAAAUCGUCUGUAAACAUCUGGAUGCCGAGGAUCUGAAGGAGCAUAUGCAGGAAAACCAUCCAAUCUCAUCUUCAUCAUCUGCAUUUUUGGCCCUGUUCUUCGUUUCAAAAGUAUAUACGCAAAAGCACACAUACUUGGACUGAACUUAUGUUUUUGCCAUUCGUUGGCAGUAUUUUUGAGGUUGAGAUGAAAAGAUUAUUAAGAAGGAUGAUUGUAUGACACUUCUGAAGAAUUUGUGAAGGUCCUUUAGAUCAUAUUUCUCAUCGUCUCUCAUGUUAUUAAGAUCACAUUCCAUCUCUCAGUCCUUCUGUUCACCUUCACCUCUCUCUAUCUGUCUCAUACUCAGAUGUAAUGAUUAGACAUUCAUGUUAAGUCUAUUAGAAGUCAAUGUGUUAUACACCAACACAGCUUAUGUUCCUUUAUAUAGAAUCACUGUUGACUAAAAAAGCACAGCAUCUACAUCUCUAUGACCUUCACCUAAAGGGAAUGACAUUUUACAGCUUCUUUAGAGCUCACACUGUUAAGAGCAUCAACAGUACAGACGGAGAAUGCUUGUUUGAACUUAUACAUUUACAUGUUGUAACAUUUUAUGAGUAAAUUAUAAUAAUAUUUAUCUGAUUUAAUAUAACAACAUGCUUUAACUAGUCAACAUAUACGUGUUUUUCCUUGUUUCAGAGUCUUUUCAAAGGCUCUCUGGUUUUUGCCUAGUAAUCAAGGAUCGGAGCUGGAAACACAAAGGUCAAAGUUUGACCCCUGGCAUGGAUGACACCAUUAUGCAACUCCGUUAACCCAGCGUUGCUCCUGGAGCCUGCCUGACAAUUGAGGUAUUAUAAGGCACUUUAGACAGAAAGCAGCUAUUAAAUGAAAAGUAGUCAACUCCUCUCUUCAAUCUUCUUGUCAGUUUUUGUCUUCUUCAGAUCUUAAUAUUAGCUCCGAUCUCACUGCAAUUGAUUUCGUUGUCUACCCAGUAGAGUAUCUUCUGUUGGCCAUAUUACAUCCUCCCUCCCUUUGAUCAUAUUUUACCCAUUUGAGAGAAUGAAAUGUGAGUCACUGCUGACACUGCAGAUCAAUCCUCCUGAAAUACAAUGAAGGAGAGAUACUAAAAAUGGAUGAUGGAAGCUGCAUCGCUGUGUGUGUUCUUGUGAAUCUUGAAAAUAAUAUAGCAUAAUCUUUGCAGUAUGAGAAGCCAUAAAUAAAUAACAUCAGAGCAGAACUUACUGUUAAUUUAGGACUUGUUCUAAACUGUACAACGCACAUGGUAUCAAUCUGUACCACAGUGGUCAAUAUUAGAGAUUUUUAUUUAUUUAUUUACAAUGUUGGAUAUUUCAUUGCACAUACUCAUUAAACUCUUAAAACAUAAAACACUAAUAAUUUAACUCAAGCAAAUUAGAUUUUUAGCUCUUCUCGGUAUGAAAACAGUAUAGACAGAAUAAAAUCUUUAUUUUAAUGGUUAUGGGCAAUAACAUACUGGCUUACUGGUUUGACCAGAAGAAGCCCUCUCUCUGCGUGUCUGAGGUUAAAGGCCAUUCCCUUUUGCCCUCCCUAUGAAUUUUUUUCAGACUGUGAUAAAGCCUACUGAAUCUCAGAAGCUGUGAGUUACCUUGCAUUUUAUUUCUUGCCUUCGAGGACAUUGUUAUUAAUGUUGAAACAGUGACCCAGGAGCUAAUUCUGUACCUUACAGUGUGCCAGAUUUAUAACAAGGGUCUCCAUGACUGUAUAAUUCAUUUUUAUUAUAUAGAGUUUUUGGCAUAUAGUUGAAAUCAGGACAGUGCCAGUGGUACCUGAAACAUCAGUUUCAGAGUGGAUAAAGCUUCAUAAUCCAUGACAAAUGGAGGAGGGCAGACCAAGAAGACCUUACUGGCCCCAGUUGUCCAUUCAAAACACCUGUAAAACCCCCUCUUUGUUGAAGUGCAGUGAAAGAUGCACACAUUCUCAUUCUUCUGCUUUGAUUUCCCAGAAUGAGCUCCAGAAGAAGAGAUGUUGCCUCAAGGGUUUUUGGCCUCAGCAGUCUAUAGGCCAUGGAAAUGGAAAACGUCUGUUUGCAGCGACCAGAGGCUUACGCUUAAGAGAUUGAUGCACCUUGAAAUUCUCUGUCAGUCUUGUCAUGAACAUAUGCAUUAGUGUGCAUCCUGGUUUUUCUUCUUCUUUUUUUUUUGUGCUCACACGGCAGCUUUCUUCUGUCUGGAUCUGAUUUUAACAUGCCAGUUUUACUUUUAUGCAUUUGCCAGAUCCUCUUAUCCAAAUAGACUUAAAUUGCAUUCAGGGUACACAAGUUAUCAGUUCAUGCGUUCCCUGGAAAUUGAACCAAUGUUCUGUAGCAGCGCGCUUUAUUGUUUGAACUACAGGAAAGGCAAGCUGGAAUUGGAAAGCUUCACCGGCUUCAUACUUUGUGGUUCUUGCUUUCCAAUUGCAAAUUAAGGUGAGACAUUCAACAUUGAGAUCCAUUGAGAUGAGAGCAGUGAAUCACUGUGAAAGAAUUAUGGCUUUCUGCUCAGUAGGCUGCCUAAAAAGAACAAAGGUCUCUCCGAGUUCACACACUUUCUCAGACAAUUGGCCCAUAAGCCAGUGCGCAUUGUUAUGCAGCAUAAGGUUAUAAUGUUUUGCAUUUCCUACAGCAAGACUGAAGAGAAGUUGAGAAGUGAUGUUAUGGGCUGGAAAUUUUAUGAGCCAUGUCACGGUAUCCAUGGUGUCUUUUAUUUCCUCGCUCAUUUUGGCACACUACACUGAUUUAUCAAUAAUGCAGUGAAAUGCUGUUAGCACUGGGAGUGCAGCAGUUAGUCUGCUUAACAGACCCUUGUGCUGUCCACCCACAGAGCUCCAUCAAUAACAGUCAUGCCUUUUCCAAGGCUAAGUGAUUUAUUUAAUUUAUCUUUUAAAUUCUCACUAUAAUGUCGUACAAACCUCCAUAAGAAUUGACUUCUAUAGAACACGAAGAUGUUUUGAAGAAUGUACAAGCUGCUUUUUUCCAUAAAAUGGAGUAAACUGUGACCAGUGGCAAUCAAGCUACAAAAACACAAUAAAUGCAGUCUAUAAGACUUUUUUUGUAGUCUUAUAAAUUCAUACUAUAUCUUUGGAAACUCGACUCAAAUCUGAAGUUAUUGUUUGCCAAAAAUGUUAUUCUCCGCCAUAGUUCUGAAAUUGUAUAUCACCGUUGAAAGGAAGAUUUUUUAUUUUUAUAAUAUUUUAUUCAGCAAGGAUGCAUUGCUGAUAUGUUGAAAAUGAUCAAAAGUGACAGUAAAGACUUGAUAUGAUAUUGAAAUGAUAUUUCGUUUUCAACAUGGAUCCGAAACGUUCCUUAAGCACUGUAUCAGCAUAUUGGAAAGUUUUCUGAAGGAUCAAUGUGGAUCAUCAUCAUCACACACUGCAGACUGAAGUAAGGGCUGCAUGCUGAAAAUUCAGCUUUGCCAUCAAUAAUAGUAUUUGAAAAUAGAAAUGAAUUACUGUUUGUGUGUGUACUGUAUGUGUUUGUGUGUGUCCCAUAGCUUAGUGUUUAUUCUCAAGUGCGUUCAGUAACUAAAAAAAGUGAUAUCAAACUGUAAUGCAUUCAACAAAACUAAAACUAUCAACAUAGCCAGCAGUCUGACACUGUCCUGAUACAGGCCAUGGGGCACCUUUUAAAUAACACCACACUGUAACAUCAGUUUUAGUUUCUCGACUAAUCUGCGAGUCUGCUGUCUUCAGACUUACAGCCCUAACUUUCUUGCGUCAAGAUCAAGUAGUCAGGGUGUUAGUGACAUUAUUUAGAAGACCACCUCCAAUCUGCGUUCCUCUUGUUUUCUUUCAUUGGAAGAUUACUGAGGCCAGCAGACCCGGUUGCUCUGCUCCAGCCCACUUGUUUUGACCUCCGCAUUUCAGACAACAAUGCCAUCCAUUACAGUUAAAUCUGGGACAUGGUGGUCCCAUCUAAUUAUGAGCCUGGUUCACUCAUGGUCCACCUCAACUAAUCACAGAAUUACUCAAAAUUAUAGUUUGAGCCAAAUUUCCAUGGGAACCAUCAACAGUUAAUUUAAGUUUUAAAUAAUUAAAAACAAAUAAUAUUUCCAGCUCACAAAUCAAAUUGAAUUCUAUUUAGUGAAUAGUAUAAAUAAAUGGGGUUUAAUUCGAUUAAUUCAUUAAAUCAUUGUUUUUAUUUUUAAUUUGAUAGUCCCAUUCACAUCUGCCUUAGAUAAUAAAUUCAUGAACUGUACUGUCAUUUAUCCAUUUUCAGACAUGGGUCACAAAAGCUUUUAAAAACAGUUUGACUGAACUUUGCUGUUCUAGUAAAUCUAUAUUCCAGUCAUUCACAUUGCUUUGAAGCAUAAACCACAGCCACAGAAUUGGACACCCCACAACUUCACACAACUCUUUAGGAGGCUCUUCAGUUACAUUUCAACUUGUACAUCUUUAAUAACAGACAAGCUCAGCGGGACCUCAUUUAAUAAAACCCACCGCUACCAGAAUCCCGCCUAAGCAUUUGCUCUCGCUGUACUAUUACACUCCAAAAUCUGUCUGCUGAGGUCUUCGCCAGAUCAUGAUUUCAACCUCUGUAGUGUCAUGAUGUGCAGCCGAGCGUUCAGCAAAGCUCAUUUCAUUUGGUUGUCUUUCACAAACAAAUUUGCUCCAGUCCAUCUCUACUGAACAGAUCCCAGAUGGGAGUCAAGUCAGUGAAAUUAUUUUUACCAUACAGCAGCCCAUCUAAAAUCAAAUUACAUCAGAUGUUACACUGGAGGAUUCGCCAGC